ACCGUGAGGGAAUGGUGAAAAGUACCCCGGGAGGGGAGUGAAAUAGUACCUGAAACCGUGUGCCUGUAAGCCGUCAGAGCCUUGUGGGGUGAUGGCGUGCCUUUUGAAGAAUGAGCCUGCGAGUUAGUGAUACGUGGCGUGCUUAACCCGUGUGGGGUAUGCGUAGCGAAAGCGAGUCUGAAAUAUGGCGUUGGUCGCGUGUUCUAGACCCGAAGCGGGGUGAUCUACCCAUGGUCAGGUUGAAGCAGAGGUAAGACUGUGUGGAGGACCGAACCCACCAGGGUUGAAAACCUGGGGGAUGAACUGUGGGUAGGGGUGAAAGGCCAAUCAAACUCCGUGAUAGCUGGUUCUCCCCGAAAUGCAUUUAGGUGCAGCGUUGCGUGGUCCCUGGUGGAGGUAGAGCUACUGGAUGGCCGAUGGGCCCUGUGGGUUACUGACGUCAGCCAAACUCCGAAUGCCAUUAGGUGUAGCGUGGCAGUGAGACUGCGGGGGAUAAGCUUCGUAGUCGAGAGGGAAACAGCCCAGAUCAUCAGCUAAGGCCCCUAAGCGUGCGCUAAGUGGGAAAGGAUGUGGAGUCGCGGUGACAACCAGGAGGUUGGCUUAGAAGCAGCCAUCCUUGAAAGAGUGCGUAAUAGCUCACUGGUCAAGUGGUUCUGCGCCGACAAUGUAGCGGGGCUCAAGCGUACCGCCGAAGCUGUGGCAGCAACACGUAUGGCUGGCGCCAGUUUAUUGGUUGUUGGUGUGUUGUUGGGUAGGGGAGCGUCCUGCAUGAGGUGAAGCCUGGAGGUGACUUCUGGUGGAUUGUGUGGGAGUGAGAAUGCAGGCAUGAGUAACGAAUCUGCGGUGAGAAUCCGCAGCGCCGAUUGACUAAGGGUUCCAGGGCUAGGUUUAUCCGCCCUGGGUUAGUCGGGUCCUAAGGCGAGGCCGACAGGCGUAGUCGAUGGACAACCAGUUGAUAUUCUGGUACCAGGUUGUGACCGCCCAUGCUGAGGUCAUUGUGCUAACCAAUUUGCCCGCGCCUCUGCAUGACCUUCGGGUUGCGUGGUGUGUGUGGGUCUUGGGGUCCCGGUGAUGGUAGGCAAGCGUGUUAACAGGGGUGACGCAGACAGGUAACUGCAGUGCGCCGAUGGUUGUGCGUAUUUAAGGUUGUGGCCCGCCCUUUAGGUAAAUCCGGGGGGCACUAGGGUGAGGACUGAUGAGGGACACGCGUGUGUGUGGACUUGUGGUGAUCCUAUGCUGCCGAGAAAAGCCUCGACGUGAGGGCAUGACGCGCCCGUACCCUAAACCGACUCAGGUGGUCAGGUAGAGUAUACCGAGGCGUUCGAGUGAAUCGUGGUUAAGGAACUCGGCAAAAUUCCUCCGUAACUUCGGGAUAAGGAGGACCCCGUGACUUCCCAAUGCUUUGCGUGUUGGUGGGGUUGUGGGGUCGCAGAGAAUAGGGAGAAGCGACUGUUUAUCAAAAACACAGGUGCGUGCGAAGCCGUAAGGCGAUGUAUACGCACUGACGCCUGCCCGGUGCUGGAAGGUUAAGAGGAACUGUUAACAUUCUUUGUGGGUGUGAAGCGGUGAAUUUAAGCCCCAGUAAACGGCGGUGGUAACUAUAACCAUCCUAAGGUAGCGAAAUUCCUUGUCGGGUAAGUUCCGACCUGCACGAAUGGCGUAACGACUUCUCCGCUGUCUCAACCGCGAACUCGGUGAAAUUGCAGUACGAGUAAAGAUGCUCGUUUCGCGCAGAAGGACGGAAAGACCCCGGGACCUUUACUAUAGCUUGGUAUUGGUGUUCGCUUGGACUUGUGUAGGAUAGGUGGGAGACUGUGAAGCUGCCGCGCCAGCGGUGGUGGAGUCGUCGUUGAAAUACCAUUCUGGUUUAAGCGGUCACCUUAACCUUGGCCCGUGAUCCGGGUUGGGGACAGUGCCUGGUGGGUAGUUUAACUGGGGCGGUUGCCUCCUAAAAUGUAACGGAGGCGCUCAAAGGUUCCCUCAGCCUGGUUGGUAAUCAGGUGGCGAGUGCAAGUGUACAAGGGAGCUUGACUGUGAGACCGACGGGUCGAGCAGGUGCGAAAGCAGGAACUAGUGAUCCGGCCAUGGCACGUGGGUGCGUGGUCGCUCAACGGAUAAAAGGUACCCCGGGGAUAACAGGCUGAUCUUGCCCAAGAGUCCAUAUCGACGGCAUGGUUUGGCACCUCGAUGUCGGCUCGUCGCAUCCUGGGGCUGGAG
rnacentral:rRNA from 1 species